AUUGAACGCUGGCGGCAUGCCUUACACAUGCAAGUCGAACGCGAAAGCGGGGCAACCCGCAAGUAGAGUGGCGAACGGGUGAGUAAUACAUCGGAACGUACCCAGUAGCGGGGGAUAACCUCUCGAAAGAGAGGCUAAUACCGCAUACGACCUAUGGGUGAAAGCGGGGGACCUGAGGGAAACUGAGGGCCUCGCACUAUUGGAGCGGCCGAUGUCGGAUCAGCUAGUUGGCGGGGAACGGCCCACCAAGGCGACGAUCCGUAGCUGGUCUGAGAGGACGACCAGCCACACUGGAACUGAGACACGGUCCAGACUCCUACGGGAGGCAGCAGUGGGGAAUUUUGGACAAUGGGCGCAAGCCUGAUCCAGCCAUGCCGCGUGAGUGAAGAAGGCCUGG
rnacentral:rRNA from 1 species